rnacentral:rRNA from 1 species
GAUGAACGCUGGCGGCGUGCCUAAUACAUGCAAGUCGAACGGGAUUCUUGGAUUCGUCUGAGAUGAGAGUGGCGCACGGGUGAGUAACACAUGGCUGACCUGCCCUUCAGAGGGGGACAACCGGUGGAAACGCUGGCUAAUACCCCAUACGCUCGUGAGGAUUAGCAGCUCAUGAGGAAAGUGGUAAGCGCUGAAGGAGGGGGCUGUGGCCCAUCAGCUGGUUGGUAGGGUAACGGCCUACCAAGGCAAGGACGGGUAGGGGGCCUGAGAGGGUGACCCCCCACACGGGUACUGAGACACGGACCCGACUCCUACGGGAGGCAGCAGUAAGGGAUAUUGCGCAAUGGGCGAAAGCCUGACGCAGCAACGCCGCGUGCGGGAUGACGGCCUUCGGGUUGUAAACCGCUUCUCAGGGUGAAGAGGAAGGACGGUAGCCCUGGAAUAAGUCUCGGCUAACUACGUGCCAGCAGCCGCGGUAAAACGUAGGAGGCGAGCGUUAU